rnacentral:rRNA from 1 species
GACGAACGCUGGCGGCGUGCUUAACACAUGCAAGUCGAACGGAAAGGCCCGGCGUUUGUGGGUUGCUCGAGUGGCGAACGGGUGAGUAACACGCGAGUAACCUGCCCUUAACUUUGGGAUAACUUCAGGAAACUGGGGCUAAUACCGGAUAGGAGCUCCUGCUGCAAGGUGGGGGUUGGAAAGUUUCGGCUGUUUGGGAUGGACUCGCGGCUUAUCAGCUUGUUGGUGGGGUAGUGGCUUACCAAGGCUUUGACGGGUAGCCCGCCUGAGAGGGUUACCGGGCACAUUGGGACUGAGGUAAGGACCAGUGUCCUACAGGAGGCAGCAGUGGGGAAUAUUACACAAUGGGCGGAAGCCUGAUGCAGCAACGCCGCGUGCGGGAUGACGGCCUUUGGGUUGUAAACAGAUUUGGCAUGUGACGAAGCGUGCGUGACGGUACCGGGUAAAGAAGCCCCGGCUAACUACGUG